rnacentral:rRNA from 1 species
UGAGGAAUUUUGCGCAAUGGGCGGAAGCCUGACGCAGCAACGCCGCGUGAGUGAUGAAGGCUUUCGGGUCGUAAAGCUCUGUCAAGUGGGAAGAACCUGCUUCGUGAUAAUACCACGAAGCACUGACGGUACCACUGAAGGAAGCACCGGCUAACUCCGUGCCAGCAGCCGCGGUAAUACGGGGGGUGCUAGCGUUAUUCGGAAUCAUUGGGCGUAAAGGGCGCGUAGGCGGUCUCUUAAGUCAGAUGUGAAAGCCCUCGGCUUGACCGAGGAAGUGCAUUUGAUACUAAGUGACUUGAGUAUGGGAGAGGGAAGCGGAAUUCCUGGUGUAGCGGUGAAAUGCGUAGAUAUCAGGAGGAACACUGGUGGCGAAGGCGGCUUCCUGGACCAAUACUGACGCUGAGGCGCGAAGGCGUGGGGAGCAAACA